rnacentral:rRNA from 1 species
GUGCCAGCAGCCGCGGUAAUACAGAGGGGGCAAGCGUUAUUCGGAAUUACUGGGCGUAAAGGGCGCGUAGGCGGUUCUUUAAGUCGGAUGUGUAAUCCCCGAGCUCAACUUGGGAACUGCAUCCGAAACUGGGGAGCUAGAGUGCUGGAGAGGGUGGUGGAAUUCCACGUGUAGCGGUGAAAUGCGUAGAGAUGUGGAGGAACACCAGUGGCGAAGGCGGCCACCUGGACAGUAACUGACGCUGAGGCGCGAAAGUGUGGGGAGCAAACAGGAUUAGAUACCCUCGUAGUCC